GAUGAACGCUGGCGGCGUGCCUAAUACAUGCAAGUCGAGCGAACAGACGAGGAGCUUGCUCCUCUGACGUUAGCGGCGGACGGGUGAGUAACACGUGGAUAACCUACCUAUAAGACUGGGAUAACUUCGGGAAACCGGAGCUAAUACCGGAUAAUAUAUUGAACCGCAUGGUUCAAUAGUGAAAGACGGUUUUGCUGUCACUUAUAGAUGGAUCCGCGCCGCAUUAGCUAGUUGGUAAGUUAACGGCUUUCCAAGGCGACGAUGCGUAGCCGACCUGAGAGGGUGAUAGGCCACACUGGAACUGGGACACGGUCCAGACUCCUACGGGAGGCCGCAGUAGGGAAUCUUCCGCAAUGGGCGAAAGCCUGACGGAGCAACGCCGCGUGAGUGAUGAAGGUCUUCGGAUCGUAAAACUCUGUUAUUAGGGAAGAACAAAUGUGUAAGUAACUAUGCACGUAUUGACGGUACCUAAUCAGAAAGCCACGGCUAACUACGUG
rnacentral:rRNA from 1 species